GUUUGUGAUUGACUGCUGUUACAUGGCAAUUACGGCUCACAAAGACACACAAAAUGUUUUAUAGGUGUUUCUGAAAGAACCUGCCAAUCACCACCAGGAUUUGCUCUCAGCUUUAUAAAGGCAAAGGUUUCCCACAGUUCCUGCCGUUCAUUUGAAUGCUCUACAUAGUUGAUCAUUGCUUACUGUGGUCUCACAUACCUGACAGCCUGCUUCUGUGUCUCUCCCUGAGCUCUCACACAGUGUAGCCUCUUACCCAUCCAGGCAUUCUACAAUGAAGAUUUAUUUUCUGCUUUUUAGAUGAAUGCCACUAUUUUGGCAACUUUUGUGUUUACAAGAUUGACGUACAAUCAUGAAGUCAUCAGCCCUUUUCAGUGGAGUAUCAACAUGUACUGUCAUGGCACAUAUGUUAAAGGAAGCAUAAAGACUCAACUUUUCUAGUUAAUUUGUUUUUGCUGGAUUUUUUGAUUAUGUGGGGGAUUACUUGGGUUUCAUUUCUACACACAAUUUUAAUGCAGAAACACUGAGUGUGAUAAUCUGUCCCAUUUAUCUGGUAUUUUAACAGAAUACCCUUUGGCUUUGGUGUUUUAUAGUAUUACAGUGAUUUACUCUGCCUACUAGUUUUAGUAUUUGUUUUAGCAGGCACCCACUUUGACAUUGUAGAGUCUGUUGUGUGAACCAAGUUCUACAGGAAUAGCAUUUUAAGCUUUCUUUUUCAAUGUUUAUAUUAGGGCCAGGACAGUAGCACUAUGUGCUGUAUAAUUAGUUUGAUCUUUUUGUAACAAUUAUU